CUCAUGAGUACCAACAGGCUUAUUAUUUUUUGUGUUCUCCCAACUAUCAGCAAGUGUGUAAGAAGCGCUGGCUGGAGGUGCAGAACCUGGGUCAGAGCUUGUCGCAACGUGCCUCAACCCCACCCACACCUCUUCUUUUGAUCCAGUCCUGACUGGGGUGCUGUGUUCAGUCUCUCCACAGGGAUAAGAACUCUGAGAGGAGAGCAGGCAGACAUGCUUCUGUGACUCCAGACCAGACCAAGGUCUCUUCAUGAAGCUCAGAGGAACCCCUGAAGAUGACCACCACAUACUGGCAGUCAUAGCCAGAAGAAACUACUCAGCCAAGAUCCCAGGGGUAACAGGCUAUUUCUGAGGCGGCUGUCUCCCUCCCCACCGCCCAGAGGAAGGGCGGACACAGAGUGAAGAGUCCAGCUCUCGCUUCCUGGAACGGAGCCGACAGAGCUAGUGGGAUCCUUUUUGCAGACUGUAACUAUUUUUCGAUGACAUUAUUUCAUCUGGUAUCCUCAUGAUAACCCUGUUAGUCGAUGUGGAAAGAGAAUUGUCUUAGUUUAGGCUGCUAUAACAAAAAUAUCAUACUUGCUUGGGUCAGCUAGAUGACUCAGCCAGU